AUUGAACGCUGGCGGCAGGCCUAACACAUGCAAGUCGAGCGGAUGAAGGGAGCUUGCUCCUGGCUUCAGCGGCGGACGGGUGAGUAAUGCCUAGGAAUCUGCCUGGCAGUGGGGGAUAACGUCCGGAAACGGGAGCUAAUACCGCAUACGUCAUGAGGGUGAAAGUGGGGGAUCUUCGGACCUCACGCUAUCAGAUGAGCCUAGGUCGGAUUAGCUAGUUGGUGGGGUAAAGGCCUACCAAGGCGACGAUCCGUAACUGGUCUGAGAGGAUGAUCAGUCACACUGGAACUGAGACACGGUCCAGACUCCUACGGGAGGCAGCAGUGGGGAAUAUUGGACAAUGGGCGAAAGCCUGAUCCAGCCAUGCCGCGUGAGUGAAGAAGGUCUUCGGGUUGUAAAGCACUUUUAGUUGGGAGGAAGGGAAGUAAGUUAAUACCUGGCUGUUUUGACGUUACCAACAGAAUAAGCACCGGCUAACUUCGUG
rnacentral:rRNA from 1 species